ACGUAGGGGGCGAGCGUUAUUCGGAAUUACUGGGUGUAAAGGGUAUGUAGGCGGCCCUUCAAGUCGCGUGUCAAAGUCCAGUGCUCAACUCUGGGUGUGCGCGCGAUACUGACGGGCUUGAGGGCCGGAGAGGUGAGCGGAAUUCCCGGUGUAGUGGUGAAAUUCGUAGAUAUCGGGAGGAACACCAGUGGCGCAGGCGGCUCACUGGACAGUUUCUGACGCUAAGAUGCGAAAGCGUGGGGAGCAAACAG
rnacentral:rRNA from 1 species